rnacentral:rRNA from 1 species
GGCACGCCUAACACAUGCAAGUCGAACGGUGUUUGAGAGCUUGCUCUUAAAACAUAGUGGCGGACGGGUGAGUAACACGUGAGCAACCUGCCUCUGAGAGAGGGAUAGCUUCUGGAAACGGAUGGUAAUACCUCAUAACAUAGCUGGACCGCAUGAUCCGGUUAUCAAAGAUUUAUCACUCAGAGAUGGGCUCGCGUCUGAUUAGCUAGUUGGUGAGGUAACGGCCCACCAAGGCGACGAUCAGUAGCCGGACUGAGAGGUUGAACGGCCACAUUGGGACUGAGACACGGCCCAGACUCCUACGGGAGGCAGCAGUGAGGGAUAUUGCACAAUGGAGGAAACUCUGAUGCAGCGAUGCCGCGUGGAGGAAGAAGGUUUUCGGAUUGUAAACUCCUGUUUCGAGGGACGAUAAUGACGGUACCUCGGGAGGAAGCUCCGGCUAACUACGUGCCAGCCGCCGC